rnacentral:piRNA from 1 species
UAACAAGCCAGGUGCGGUGUCUCAUGUC